UGAAUGUAUCAUACGGAGUCGCAGAAGAA
rnacentral:sRNA from 1 species